GCCGAGAAAAGCCUCUAGAUAGAUAACAGGUGCCCGUACCGCAAACCGACACAGGUAGUCAAGAUGAGAAUUCUAAGGUGAGCGAGCGAACUCUCGUUAAGGAACUCGGCAAAAUGACCCCGUAACUUCGGGAGAAGGGGUGCUCUUUAGGGUUCACGCCCAGAAGAGCCGCAGUGAAUAGGCCCAAGCGACUGUUUAUCAAAAACACAGGUCUCUGCUAAACCGUAAGGUGAUGUAUAGGGGCUGACGCCUGCCCGGUGCUGGAAGGUUAAGAGGAGUGGUUAGCUUCUGCGAAGCUACGAAUCGAAGCCCCAGUAAACGGCGGCCGUAACUAUAACGGUCCUAAGGUAGCGAAAUUCCUUGUCGGGUAAGUUCCGACCCGCACGAAAGGCGUAACGAUUUGGGCACUGUCUCAACGAGAGACUCGGUGAAAUCAUAGUACCUGUGAAGAUGCAGGUUACCCGCGACAGGACGGAAAGACCCCGUGGAGCUUUACUGUAGCCUGAUAUUGAAAUUCGGCACAGCUUGUACAGGAUAGGUAGGAGCCUUUGAAACGUGAGCGCUAGCUUACGUGGAGGCGUUGGUGGGAUACUACCCUAGCUGUGUUGGCUUUCUAACCCGCACCACUUAUCGUGGUGGGAGACAGUGUCAGGCGGGCAGUUUGACUGGGGCGGUCGCCUCCUAAAAGGUAACGGAGGCGCUCAAAGGUUCCCUCAGAAUGGUUGGAAAUCAUUCAUAGAGUGUAAAGGCAUAAGGGAGCUUGACUGCGAGACCUACAAGUCGAGCAGGGUCGAAAGACGGACUUAGUGAUCCGGUGGUUCCGCAUGGAAGGGCCAUCGCUCAACG
rnacentral:rRNA from 1 species